UACGUAGGGUGCAAGCGUUAAUCGGAAUUACUGGGCGUAAAGGGCGCGUAGGCGGCCUUCUAAGUCGAACGUGAAAUCCCCGGGCUCAACCCGGGAACUGCGUCCGAUACUGGAAGGCUUGAAUCCGGGAGAGGGAUGUGGAAUUCCAGGUGUAGCGGUGAAAUGCGUAGAUAUCUGGAGGAACACCGGUGGCGAAGGCGGCCCACUGGUCCGGUACUGACGCUGAGGUGCGAAAGCGUGGGGAGCAAACAGG
rnacentral:rRNA from 1 species